CUCUGUAGUUCAGUCGGUAGAACGGCGGACUGUUAAUCCGUAUGUCACUGGUUCCUGAAAAGCCCGCUUUUAUAGCGG
rnacentral:tRNA from 1 species